rnacentral:sRNA from 1 species
GCGCACGGCCCAGCCUUUAUAGCGGCCGCGGGGGCCUUGCCUUCCGCACUCGGGCGCAGCCGGGUGGAUCUCGAGCAGGUGCGGAGCCCCGGGCAGCGGGCGCGGGUGCGAGGGAUCCCUGACGCCUCUGUCCCUGUUUCUUUGUCGCUCCCAGCCUGUCUGUGGUCGUUUUGGCGCCCCCGCCUCCCCGCGGUGCGGGGUUGCACACCGAUCCUGCGCUUGGCUCGAUUUGCCGCCGAGGCGCCUCCCAGACCUAGAGGGGCGCUGGCCUGGAGCAGCAGGUCGUCUGUGUCCUCUCUCCUCUGCGCCGCGCCCGGGGGUCCGAAGGGUGCGGGGCUCUGAGGAGGUGACGCGCGGGGCCUCCCGCACCCUGGCCUUGCCCGCAUUCUCCCUCUCUCCCAGGUGUGAGCAGCCUAUCAGUCACCAUGUCCGCAGCCUGGAUCCCGGCUCUCGGCCUCGGUGUGUGUCUGCUGCUGCUGCCGGGGCCCGCGGGCAGCGAGGGAGCCGGUGAGUGGGGGAGCUGGGGUGCGUCCAGGCGGUCGCAGGGGCUGAGCACCAGCGGGUACAAGCGGGACUCAGAUCCAGACCCUUGGGCUUCAGCCCGACCGCCUGAGGAGGA